rnacentral:rRNA from 1 species
AGUGGCGCACGGGUGAGUAACGCGUAUGCAUCUACCUAUAACUGAGGGAUAGCCCAGAGAAAUUUGGAUUAAUACCUCAUAACUUGGCAUCAUUAAAACUCCGGUGGUUAUAGAUGAGCAUGCGUUCUAUUAGCUAGUUGGUGAGGUAAGAGCUCACCAAGGCUACGAUAGAUAGGGGGCCUGAAAGGGUGAUCCCCCACACUGGUACUGAGACACGGACCAGACUCCUACGGGAGGCAGCAGUGAGGAAUAUUGCACAAUGGGGGAAACUCUGAUGCAGCCAUGCCGCGUGCAGGAUGAAGGCCUAUGGGUUGUAAACUGCUUUUUUACAAGAAGAAACCUUGGUACGUGUACCAACUUGACGGUAUUGUAAGAAUAAGCACCGGCUAACUCCGUGCCAGCAGCCGCGGUAAUACGGAGGGUGCAAGCGUUAUCCGGAUUUAUUAGGUUUAAAGGGUUCGCAGGCGGAAUUUUAAGUCAGUGGUGAAAGCCUACAGCUCAACUGUAGAACUGCCAUUGAAACUGAUAUUCUUGAGUAUAGAUGAAGUGGGCGGAAUAUGUCAUGUAGCGGUGAAAUGCAUAGAUAUGACAUGCACACCAAUUGCGAAGGCAGCUCACUUAACUAAUACUGACGCUCAUGACGAAGCCUGGGAGCCAACAGGAAUAGAUACCCUGUUAGCCCCACGUG